UACGUAGGGGGGCAAGCGUUGUCCGGAUUUAUUGGGCGUAAAGAGCGUGUAGGCGGCCAGACAGGUCCGUUGUGAAAACUCGAGGCUCAACCUCGAGACGCCGAUGGAAACCGUCUGGCUAGAGUCCGGAAGAGGAGAGUGGAAUUCCUGGUGUAGCGGUGAAAUGCGCAGAUAUCAGGAAGAACACCCGUGGCUAAGGCGGCUCUCUGGGACGGUACUGACGCUGAGACGCGAAAGCGUGGGGAGCGAACAGG
rnacentral:rRNA from 1 species